AGAGUUUGAUCCUGGCUCAGGAUGAACGCUGGCGGCAUGCCUAAUACAUGCAAGUCGAACGAGGGUCCUUCGGGACUCGAGUGGCGAACGGGUGAGUAACACGUAGGGAACCUGCCCGUGCGACCGGGAGAACUUUCGGAAACGGAAGCUGAUACCGGAUAGGGACAGAGACGGCAUCGACUCUGUGUUAAAGGAGCUGAAAGGCUCCGCGCACGGAUGGACCUGCGGUGCAUUAGCUGGUUGGUGAGGUAACGGCCCACCAAGGCGACGAUGCAUAGCCGGCCUGAGAGGGCGGACGGCCACACUGGGACUGAGACACGGCCCAGACUCCUACGGGAGGCAGCAGUAGGGAAUUUUCGUCAAUGGGCGCAAGCCUGAACGAGCAAUGCCGCGUGAACGAGGAAGGUCUUCGGAUCGUAAAGUUCUGUUGAAGGGGAAAAAGAGCGGAGAGAGGAAAUGCUUUCUGAUUGAUAUUACCCUUCGAGGAAGUCACGGCUAACUACGUGCCAGCAGCCGCGGUAAUACGUAGGUGGCGAGCGUUAUCCGGAAUGAUUGGGCGUAAAGGGUGCGUAGGCGGCCUGCUAAGUCUGGAGUGAAAGGUACCGGCUCAACCGCUACAGGCUCUGGAAACUGGCGGGCUAGAGAGCAGGAGAGGGCGGUGGAACUCCAUGUGUAGCGGUAAAAUGCGUAGAUAUAUGGAAGAACACCAGUGGCGAAGGCGGCCGCCUGGCCUGUUAACUGACGCUGAGGCACGAAAGCGUGGGGAGCAAAUAGGAUUAGAUACCCUAGUAGUCCACGCCGUAAACGAUGAGGGCCCAAGUGUGGGGGAAGACCCAGUGCUGCAGUUAACGCAGGGAGUCCUCCGCCUGGGGAGUAGGCACGCAAGGUGUGAAACUCAAAGGAAUUGACGGGGGCCCGCACAAGCGGUGGAGUAUGUGGUUUAAUUCGAAGCAACGCGAAGAACCUUACCAGGCCUUGACAUAGGGUGCGAAGCUAUGGAGACAUAGUGGAGGUAAACAUCCAUACAGGUGGUGCAUGGUUGUCGUCAGCUCGUGUCGUGAGAUGUUCAGUUAAGUCUGGCAACGAGCGCAACCCUCGUGAUGUGUUACCAAUAUCGAGUUAGGGAGUCACAUCAGACUGCCGGUGAGAAACCGGAGGAAGGCGGGGAGGACGUCAAAUCAUCAUGCCCCUUAUGGCCUGGGCUACACACGUACUACAAUGGCGGCGACAGAGGGCAGCGAGCCUGCGAAGGCAAGCGAAUCCCAAAAAAGCCGUCCCAGUUCGGAUUGGAGUGUGCAACCCGCCUCCAUGAAGUUGGAAUCGCUAGUAAUCGCGGAUCAGCAUGCCGCGGUGAAUACGUUAUCGGGCCUUGUACACACCGCCCGUCA
rnacentral:rRNA from 1 species